AACACAUCAUAUCCCAGUUUAAAUACAUUAAACAUUUGAGAAAUGACAUCAAGUAGAAAAAAAAAACAAGUGCAAAAUAAUUUAAGUAUUUAUCCUUCAUAAUAUAUGUUAAUUUCUGUGUGUAUAAGAGGGUUAUGUCAGAAGGCGGAGCUUAACACAGAAACACAUUAGUUCAGUGAUCAGCAUCACAUACAGCAUCACUCAGGCAAGCAGCAGCUACCAUCAUGUUCACUUGUGUCCUUAUAUUGCUGACUUUAACAGAAGGUAUCAGAGCUAAAGAGGUCAUCACUCCAUACAGUGAUGCAGCAUUUGCCACUGAGACCGAGAGUGUGAAACUCUCUUGUAACUACAGCGGUUCUGUUGAAAGUCUUCACUGGUAUCGACAAUAUGCAGGUUCACCACCACAGUUCCUCAUACUGGAAUCCUAUGGAACAGUUACUCCCGCUAAUCCUCCAGUUCCUGGAAUAUCCAUCAGUCACAGAAAAGAAGACAAACGUGUGGAUCUGAUCAUCUCCUCUGCUGCAGUAUCAGACUCUGCUCUGUAUUACUGUGCUCUGAGGCCCACAGUCACAGGAAACACAAGAACACUGUACAAAAACCUGACUGAUGUUAGUCUUACAGUGAGAUGUUGUCAAAAACAACUCCAUACAGGUAACAGUUUGAUUCUGAUGUUGCAUUCAAAUUCAUAUAAAUAUAUACAUUUUCUGGCUGGUUAGUUCAUGCAUUGUUAUAUUCUUAUUAUUGUAUGAGAGUUUUUCAAUGAACAUUGAUGGAAUAACAAACUAUAAUCUGUGUGCGUCAUCAUGUUUGAAGAAAUAUAAAUAAGGUCAGCAUUUAUUAUCCACCAUCUUUUUCAGAUUCACAAAUGAUUUAUUCUUGUUAGACUUGUGGACGUUGUGAAUAAAUGUAAUAAAUGUUUGUCACAUGACCAUUGGGGGGUGCUGUGUGUGUACAUUAAACAUUUCAGAGAGGACAACCAACUGUAUCUGUAAUGAAUUCACAUGUGAAAGAAACAACAGAAGAC